GACGAACGCUGGCGGCGUGCUUAACACAUGCAAGUCGAACGAUGAAGCCGGAGCUUGCUCUGGUGAAUUAGUGGCGAACGGGUGAGUAACACGUGAGUAACCUGCCCUUGACUCUGGGAUAACUGCGGGAAACUGUAGCUAAUACCGGAUACGACCCUAGGAGGCAUCUCCUGGGGGUGGAAAGAAUUUCGGUCAAGGAUGGACUCGCGGCCUAUCAGCUAGUUGGUGAGGUAAAGGCUCACCAAGGCGACGACGGGUAGCCGGCCUGAGAGGGUGACCGGACACACUGGGACUGAGACACGGCCCAGACUCCUACGGGAGGCAGCAGUGGGGAAUAUUGCACAAUGGGCGCAAGACUGAUGCAGCAACGCCGCGUGAGGGAUGACGGCCUUCGGGUUGUAAACCUCUUUUAGCAGGGAAGAAGCGAAAGUGACGGUACCUGCAGAAAAAGCACCGGCUAACUACGUGCCAGCCGCCGCGGUAA
rnacentral:rRNA from 1 species